rnacentral:rRNA from 1 species
UACGGGAGGCAGCAGGGGGAAUAUUGCACAAUGGGCGAAAGCCUGAUGCAGCUAUGCCGCGUGUAUGAAGAAGGCCUUAGGGUUGUAAAGUACUUUCAUCGGGGAGGAAAAAACAAAACUAAUAAUUUUAUUUCUUGACGUUACCCGAAAAAGAAGCACCGGCUAACUCCGUGCCAGCAGCCGCGGUAAUACGGAGGGUGCUAGCGUUAAUCAGAAUUACUGGGCGUAAAGAGCACGUAGGUGGUUUUUUUAAGUCAGAUGUGAAAUCCCUGGGCUUAACCUAGGAACUGCAUUUUGAAACUGAAAUACUAGAGUAUCGUAGAGGGAGGUAGAAUUCUAGGUGUAGCGGUGAAAUGCGUAGAUAUCUGGAGGAAUACCUGUGGCGAAAGCGGCCUCCUAAACGAAUACUGACACUGAGGUGCGAAAGCGUGGGGAGCAAACAGGGAUUAGAUACC